UACGUAGGUGGCAAGCGUUGUCCGGAAUUACUGGGCGUAAAGCGCGUGUAGGCUGCUUCGAAAGUCGGAUGUGAAAGCCCUGGGCUCAACCUAGGAAGUGCAUUCGAAACUUCGAAGCUUGAGUUCUGGAGAGGAAGGCGGAAUUCUCGGUGUAGAGGUGAAAUUCGUAGAUAUCGAGAGGAACACCGGUGGCGAAGGCGGCCUUCUGGACAGUGACUGACGCUGAGACGCGAAAGCGUGGGGAGCAAACAGG
rnacentral:rRNA from 1 species